GAUGAACGCUGGCGGCGUGCCUAAUACAUGCAAGUCGAGCGAACAGACGAGGAGCUUGCUCCUCUGACGUUAGCGGCGGACGGGUGAGUAACACGUGGAUAACCUACCUAUAAGACUGGGAUAACUUCGGGAAACCGGAGCUAAUACCGGAUAAUAUAUUGAACCGCAUGGUUCAAUAGUGAAAGACGGUUUUGCUGUCACUUAUAGAUGGAUCCGCGCGGCAUUAGCUAGUUGGUAAGGUAACGGCUUACCAAGGCAACGAUGCGUAGCCGACCUGAGAGGGGGAUCGGCCACACGGGAACGGAGACACGGUCCAGACUCCAACGGGAGGCAGCAGUAGGGAAUCUUCCGCAAUGGGCGAAAGCCUGACGGGGCAACGCCGCGGGAGUGAGGAAGGUCUUCGGAUCGUAAAACUCUGUGAUUAGGGAAGAACAAAUGUGUAAGUAACUAUGCACGUCUUGACGGUACCUAAGCAGAAAGCCACGGCUAACUACGU
rnacentral:rRNA from 1 species